UACGUAGGGGGCAAGCGUUGUCUGGAUUUAUUGGGCGUAAAGAGCGUGUAGGCGGCCAUACAGGUCAGCUGUGAAAACUCGAGGCUCAACCUCGAGACGUCGGUUGAAACCGUUUGGCUAGAGUCCGGAAGAGGAGAGUGGAAUUCCCGGUGUAGCGGUGAAAUGCGCAGAUAUCGGGAAGAACACCCGUGGCGAAGGCGGCUCUCUGGGACGGUACUGACGCUGAGACGCGAAAGCGUGGGGAGCGAACAGG
rnacentral:rRNA from 1 species